CAUUUACGCAUUACGCCCAUUCCACGGAGGAGCCUUUUAAGGGGGCAUGGUCAUCAUAUCUUCAUCACACACGGCCUGAAUGCCCAUCAUGUGGCCCCUGUCAUCAGGGAUACGGAGAUGGUCCUCGUGCCCACAGAGCUUAUAGAGGCAGGGCUGGGGCUGCUGAAAUUGCACAUCUCUGUCUCGGGGUUCAGUCCCAGCCUGUCUCCUGCAACAGAGCCUGGCAGGCUAGUCCUUGAAGGCACUAGCUUCAAGGGAGGACUCCUUGGCUUCCUAGUCUACCUGAUCACGGAAAAGGCCCCUUAAAGGAAGAUACUGCAGCUUGCAACUCUACAGAUACCAGCAGAGGAAGAAAAACAUGGGCAACUGCUGAUAACCUAAUGUGGAGAAUUAAACUCCAACUAAGCAAAGGUAGAAUCUUAACAUGGAGUGGCCUGGUUCUGCAGGGAGUCACCUGGGCUGACUUGAUUUCAAGCCAAUAACACAGCAGAAGUUAUGACCCAGGUUUUUUUGUGGGUAAGCCUUCUGAGCUCAGGAAUUCCAAAGCAUUUGUUAAACCCUGCAGUAUCGCAUUGUGUACCAUCUUCCUGGUGAGCAUCUCAAUCUACAAUGAUUUUUUAAUCUGUUAGUUGGCUUACUAUCUGCUGCCUUGCCUGCUGACUGUAAGCUGUAAGAGGGUAGGGAUCUUGUGUGGUAUGCCAUAUAGCUCCAGUGUGUACCACAGAGCCUGGCUCCUCAUUAGGUGUUCAAUAAAUAGGUGCUGAAUUUGACAAAGACUGAGAUCUCAAAGAUGUUCCCAGUGAGCAUGAAGGUAAGAACCCGUCCCUCUUAACGCCAUGUAAGUGACCAGAGUAGGACCCAGGCUAUCUGGAUGACUGUUGAUAGAAUCAGGAGUUGUGAAGCCUAUUGGCUAAGAAUCCUAGCAUGUGAGACAGAAAGAGAGAACUGGGGCUGAGUCCUGGCCUUGGCAUUUUCAAGCCACUGUACUCUCGAAUUGGUUACUUAGCUUCCCAGAGCCCAUGUUUUCUCAUCUGAAAAAUGGAAGUAAUACCUACCCCCAUUGGAAAGUAAGAUAAUGCAAGCAAAGCAUGUAAUGUCAUGUUUGCAUCAUAAAAGUCCUCCAUGAAUGUUAUAUAUUGGUUUUAAAAGCUGUAACUUGUGGUGAGUUACCUACUCUGCGGAAGCUAGAGUCAGUUAAAACUUCUUGCUGCAGCUUGCUUGUUACUUCCUCUUAGGAAGUCUUCCCUGAUGCCUGCAGGGUGGAUGAGAGCUCCUCCUCUGUGAUCCCACCAAGCCCUGCAUGCUCCUCCAGCUUCUCACUCAACCCAUGGGAUUAUCCUGAGUUCAUCUGUUCUACCAGACUGUCAACUCCUUGAGCCUAGAGAGUGUGUGAUAAAACUUAUUUAGCGAAGCACACAGUAGGGCAUAGGCAGCAGCUCACUUGUUAAGUUGGGCAAAUGGUGAAAGUUGACAGAGAAAAUGGCAAGUGUGGGAGGAACACCAAAGGGAAUCUCUACUUUCAGCUGAAGGUAAAUCCCCACCUUUUCCAGCCUAGAAAAUGCAGAACAUUUUCCCUGAGACCUGAGUCCCUGAGGGAGGUGACUCAUGUGUCUCUUCCAGUGAAGAAGGGAGCCAUGGAGG